GUUUAACUAUAUUUCUCGUAGAGAUUAAAGACAAUGGAAAAUUCGCGAGAUGUAUACAUUAUUUGAUAACUCUCAAUUAUCACUCGAGAGAUCGACAAAAAGUAACUCGAAUUCCUAUACAACGCGCAAAUCCCUUUGUCAGAAGACGGAGAUUGACUGAACUCACGAUCAGCGAAGUCUCUUCAUUCGUCUGCGACAAAACACAAACAACGACUGUGGUUAACUGUCGAAGCGGCACGUUAAAGCUAGCACGAGUGGCGACCUCACGUUUCCUAGGAGCGUUUCGGUACCGACCAGUCGAUUGGUCAUCCGCCUAAGUUUCAAGGGUGCUCCAACCAAUUGGCACACGUCUACGAGGUACUUAUGGGUAGCGCAGCUGCGAAGGAAGCAAAGGGCCGAUUAACGGAAACGCGAGAAGAGUCACGUAUAUUUUGACAUGAGGUUUUCUCAUGAUGUUUCGAAAUUAUCUGGGUCCUACGACCUCGAGAGAGAGGUGAAUAUCGUGAGCAUUGAUGAACAUAAACCUUGUGCAACAUUUCAUUGAUUUCUGACGUAAUACGAGCAAAAGACUGGGUAGAUGAUACGGGAAAAACGUAUGGGUUACUACACGUAGGAUUGAAAACCACGAAGCAUCUAUUCACAGCUUGUGUUCACGCGAUGCUCGCGUGAUUACCAGUUCGAUGUUUGAAAAAUCCCACGGGACCCGGUCAUUUUCUAAUUUCCUAUCGUACAAUCUUGAGUGGACGUUGGUCCAUUGAUUAGAGGUUCCGGCGACACUUGGACUUCUCUUAUCUUCGCCUCUUUCCAUCGUGUACUCACUAUCGAAAUACGCAAACGAGCGAAAAAAUUAGACUGCACGCAAAAAAAUGCUAGCUUCCAUUGCUAUUCCUUAAAUUUAUUAAACAUAAUUAAUCUGUCGCCAUGAUACAUCGAGGAUUAAUGAUUUACGACUUUGUAAAUUAAAAUUAAUAAGCAAACAAGAAAUUCGUAUUGGAUUGAGAAUAAGAAUUUCGCAAUUGAUGGAUGUAGAGGAAUCAUCAAUCACGGCGGUGACAUUCGAAAUUUCGUGGAUUUGGGUCGCAUCACGCUAGACAAAAUAAAAUUAUGUAAUUCCAUCAGAGACGCUGUCUGCCUAUUUUGACCUUUCCAAAUAAUAGAUAUAGACUUCGAGAAUCCAAACAUAAUGACUAUAAAACGAAAAAAACAUAUCGUCGUAUAAUUAUCUUGUUGAGAUCUGUAACAUAUAUGAAAAUUAAAGAAUUAGUCAUUAUUUUGUCACCAAUUCGCUUUAUUUUUAAUCUUAUCUUUUUUUUUUAUGGCCAUCGUCUGUACAUUAAUCCAUCGAUCAUUUAUCAACAAUUUAUUAAGAAAUAUUAUCAAGAGACAAAAGAAUAAGGAAAUGAUGGAUCGUCUUUUGUUUUUUUGAAAUAAUAGAAAUAAUAAGAUGCAAAACAAGUAAAAUUGGCUUGAAAAUGGAAUUGAAGAAAAACUUUGAUCAACUGCGUUACGUAAAAUUUUGAUACAACAACACCGCUUGAUCGUGUUUUUAAUGAUAUUUCGACGAAUGACUGAAUAUUGCUGUUGAAUAAAAAAUCGAAAAAAAAGAUAAUGAAAACAAAUGGAAAAUGAUAAUCUAUGUGAUUCGUGCAGUGAAGAAUCAAAUAUCUACAAUUGACUCAUAGAACUUAGAAUUAUCGAAUCAAAAUAGAUAUACGUUGUUUCGUAUAUCUAUGUUCCGUACAUGAUAUAAUUUCCUAAAUAAUAAUUAUAAAAUAGUCCAAAU